UACGUAGGGUGCAAGCGUUGUCCGGAAUUAUUGGGCGUAAAGAGCUUGUAGGCGGUUUGUCGCGUCUGCUGUGAAAUUUCGGGGCUCAACCCCGAACUUGCAGUGGGUACGGGCAGACUAGAGUGUGGUAGGGGAGACUGGAAUUCAUGGUGUAGCAGUGAAAUGCGUGGAUAUCAGGAGGAACACCGGUGGCGAAGGCGCACAUCUGGCCCGAUACUGACGCUGAGGCGCGAAAGCUAGGGGAGCAAACGGG
rnacentral:rRNA from 1 species